UGGGGAAUAUUGGACAAUGGGCGCAAGCCUGAUCCAGCCAUGCCGCGUGAGUGAUGAAGGCCCUAGGGUUGUAAAGCUCUUUUGCCCGGGAAGAUAAUGACGGUACCCGCAGAAGAAGCCCCGGCUAACUUCGUGCCAGCAGCCGCGGUAAUACGAAGGGGGCUAGCGUUGCUCGGAAUCACUGGGCGUAAAGCGCACGUAGGCGGGUUGUUAAGUCGGGGGUGAAAUCCUGGAGCUCAACUCCAGAACUGCCCUCGAUACUGGCGAUCUUGAGUCCGGGAGAGGUGAGUGGAACUGCGAGUGUAGAGGUGAAAUUCGUAGAUAUUCGCAAGAACACCAGUGGCGAAGGCGGCUCACUGGCCCGGUACUGACGCUGAUGUGCGAAAGCGUGGGGAGCAAACAGGAUUAGAUACCCCCGUAGUCC
rnacentral:rRNA from 1 species